rnacentral:rRNA from 1 species
CGGGGGUUUCAUCGCCUACCAAUUCCUGACAAACUCCGAAUGCUAAUAAAUGUUGAUCAGCAGUGAGGGCAUGGGUGCUAAGGUCCAUGUCCGAAAGGGAAAGAACCCAGACCAACAGCUAAGGUCCCCAAAUAUAUGUUAAGUUGAAGCAACGCGGUUGGACUGCAUUGACAGCUAGGAUGUUGGCUUGGAAGCAGCCAUUCAUUUAAAGAGUGCGUAACAGCUCACUAGUCGAGCGGUCCGGCAUGGAUAAUAAUCGGGCAUAAACAUAUUACCGAAGCUAUGGAUUUGUACGUAAGUACAUCUGGUAGGAGAGCAUUCUAUUUGCGCCGAAGCAGUACUGUGAGGUAUUGUGGAGCGGAUAGAAAAGAAAAUGUAGGCAUAAGUAACGAUAAAGGGGGCGAGAAACCCCCUCACCGAAAGACUAAGGUUUCCUCAGCCAUGCUAAUCAGCUGAGGGUUAGUCGGGGCCUAACGCGAACCCGAAAGGGGAAGUGGAUGGACAACGGGUUAAUAUUCCCGUACCAGUAUAAUAAUAAAAGUGACGGAGUUGGAAAUUAGGUGCGUACUGACGGAAUAGUACGUUGAAGUAACUGCGAGGUUACGAUAGUACAGCAAGUCUUCGGAUGCGCUGAUAAUCCUAAGGACCCGCUUCCAAGAAAAGCGAAUUAUACUGCCCGUACCAAAACCGACACAGGUAGUCGAGGAGAGAAUCCUAAGGUGCUCGAGUGAGUCGUGGCUAAGGAACUAGGCAAAAUAGUCUCGUAACUUCGGAAGAAGAGACGCCAACAGUAAUGUUGGCCGCAGUGAAGAGGCCCAGGCGACUGUUUAUCAAAAACACAGGACUCUGCUAAAUCGAAAGAUGCUGUAUAGGGUCUGACACCUGCCCGGUGCUGGAAGGUUAAGGAAGGGCGUUAGCGUAAGCGAAGCGUUUGACUGAAGCCCCAGUAAACGGCGGCCGUAACAAUAACGGUCCUAAGGUAGCGAAAUUCCUUGUCGGGUAAGUUCCGACCUGCACGAAUGGUGUAACGAUCUGGGCACUGUCUCAGCCACGAGCUCGGUGAAAUUGUAGUAUCGGUGAAGAUGCCGAUUACCCGCAAUGGGACGAAAAGACCCUGUGAACCUUUACUAUAACUUCGUAUUGACUCUGAGUAAAUAAUGUGUAGGAUAGGUGGGAGGCUUUGAAGCAGGCACGCUAGUGUUUGUGGAGCCAACGUUGAAAUACCACCCUUUGUUUACUUGGAGCCUAACUUCUACGGAAGGACAUUGCGUGGUGGGUAGUUUGACUGGGGUGGUCGCCUCCAAAAGAGUAACGGAGGCUUUCAAAGGUACCCUCAGCACGCUUGGUAACCGUGCGUAGAGUGUAAUGGCAUAAGGGUGCUUGACUGUGAGACCAACAAGUCGAUCAGGUGCGAAAGCAGGACAUAGUGAUCCGGUGGUUCCGUAUGGAAGGGCCAUCGCUCAUAGG